AUCGAGGCGAUUCUUCAGCACCCUUAGUGGAGUGUGGAAUCUUCAGGCCCUUUAGACAUGACCUGCCAGCUCUGAGACUCUUAACAGGGCAGAAUAAAAGCAGGAGACUUCCAGGUGCCACCUCCUUAAGGGACUCGGGGACUCUGACUGAAGAAGUCCUAUUAUAAUACAUCAACAUCAAGUUCAAAGAAAAUGCCCUACAACAUAGCUUCUAAGAAAAUCAAAGACGGUUCCAUUCUGCGGCCGGCAAGUCCAGCCCUGGUUUCCUGACCCGAGCCUCAGAGAAGGCGGAGCUGCAGCGGCCUGUCAGU